CCAAAAGCAUUGUGUGACUGGUGGUUCAAAGGUAGCGACCACUCGAUUACUUAGACUUCUUGUUUUAUUGGUACUUAUGAUGUAAAAUGUAAAAUUACUAGUAUGUAAAACUGCAAUAGUUAAACAUGUAACUGACAAAGUGAUUUCUGCCUCAAAGGUUGUAAAGAAGGAAGUUACGGUAACAAUUGUGAAAACAACUGCAGUGUCAUAUGUUUAAACAAAAAAUGUGGGAGAGCUGACGGCAGUUGCACUGACGGAUGUAUCUCUGGCUAUGAAGGACGUAUUUGCGGAACAGAAACAAAAUCAGUUGACAAAUUCUUACUUGGGUUUGCUAUCAGCGGAUGGGCAUUGUUUGUCAUUCUUCUGGCGUUUGUGAUAAUUGUAGCUGUAAGAAGAAAACAGAUAAAGUCAAAAAGGAACAAAAGCAAUGCAGAGGAGGAUACACAAGCUCAAAUAAGGAA